GAUGAAGAACGUAGCGAAAUGCGAUAAGUAAUGCGAAUUGCAGAAUUCAGUGAGUCAUCGAAUCUUUGAACGCACAUUGCGCCCGCUGGUAUUCCGGCGGGCAUGCCUGUUCGAGCGUCAUUUCAACCCUCAAACCCCCCGGGUUUGGUGUUGGGGAUCGGCUCUGCCUCACGGCGGUGCCGCCCCCGAAAUACAUUGGCGGUCUCGCUGCAGCCUCCAUUGCGUAGUAGCUAACACCUCGCAACUGGAACGCGGCGCGGCCAUGCCGUAAAACCCCAACUUCUGAAUGUUGACCUCGGAUCAGGUAGGAAUACCCGCUGAACUUAAGCAUAUCAAUAAGCGGAGGA
rnacentral:misc_RNA from 1 species